UUUUUUUUGCCUAUUGUAUAUGUGGCUGUAUAAAAAUGUUUACAUUCCUAGGUUUUUCUCCUCUUAUUUUGGCUUAUUUUCUCAGGAAAGAUCCCAGACGUGAGAGGACCAGGAUAGAAGGGAGAGAUAGGUUUAAGGCUCUAGAUAGAUUUUGCUGAACCCCAACCAGUAUCUGGGCUCAAGAAUGUGCUUUUGGAUUGGCAUAGCUACAGGCCUCUUACAUAAGCCCAAAGCAAACCCAGACACCCUGCCAUGGGAAUAGAUGAGGCAGUGGCUCCCAGCUGCAGGCUGCUGCUCCAUGGCUCCUGGCACCCCACACACGCAGGGAACACUCACUCCUUUGCUGGGUGGAUGUGAAGUCUUGGAUGAUCUGCUUUCUUAUAGACACCCCUGGGGCAGGAUAUGCUUAAGAAAGUAUCUGAGAUUCAAGGAAACUCAGCUGUGUCUCAAGGCUGUGUCUUAAGGCCUUCACAAGUCCUAACUUGCAAAAAAAAAAAAAUGACUUGGCUUUGUGUCAGUUAGGAAUACCUUUGGCUUAAACAAAUAUGUAUUUCUAACUUUUCAUAAUACGAUGUCAAGAGAUAGCAGUCAAGGGUGUGCACAGCUGCCUAAUGAUGCUGUCUAGUCCUCAUGCUCCAUCUUUCUGUUCUGCCAUCUCUGGAGCAGUGACAUUUGUUUUUGUAGUUGUUGCCUCAUGGUCCCAAGAUAGCUGCCACAUCUCCAGGUGUCAAAUCCUCAUUCCAGGUAUGAACAAGGAGGUAAGGUAAAGGGGCUUAGAAACACGCCAUCCAAGUCUUUUGUUUGUGUCAGGAAGGCAAAAUCUUUCCUAGAAGCCCCACCCAGGAGCUUUUUGCUUGCAUGUCAUUAGCUAGAAGCAAGUCAUAAGGCCAUUCCUGAACCAAUUUUUAGUGAAAAGAAAUAAGGUUACCAUGACCUUUGGACUAGUCAAGAUUUACCCUCAGAGCUCAGGUAGGGGCCUACCUUCCUUGAAAUCAGUGGUUCACCAGUGUCAUGAGAACAAAUCAACAUUUUCUUAGCAGGGAAGGAUGGGAUGGGGUAGCUGGGAUGGGUGUUACUAGAAAGAGGACAUUGCCAUAGGCUUUGAGGAAGAUGUUAUGAUUUCAUCCCAAGGGUGGGCUCUCAUUGGCUGAUGCCCAUUUGUCUUAGCUGGUGAUUGGUUCAGGGAUAAGCACAUGGUCUAAAUAAAGCCAGGACAUUUGGACACGUGGUCCACAAUUAGAAGAGAAAGCUCGUCUUCCUCUGUGCAAUGGGGUACUUGAGCGUGAUGCCCGGAACUGCUGCAACCAUUUUGUUCCCAUGAGGGAAGCCAGGCUGAGGAUGAAGCUGAUGAGUAUACAGAGGAGGGGACAGAGAUCCAAGGGAAUCCCUGAGAAUUGGAGCCAAGGCCUUGAGCUAACUAAACCUGAGGCCCUCAUUUGUCUAGAUUUUUCAGUCCCAAAAGAUAACAUACUUCUAAAUUGCCUAAAGCAGCUUGAUGGAGGUUUCUGAUGCAACUAAAAGGACUGUAACUGAUAGAGAUGCAAAAAGGAACUUUGAGAAAAAGUUUAUGUGGUUAAGUAAGUUUGAAGAACCAGAUUAAGCAAGUUCACCAACCUUUUCUUCUUCUUUUUUUCUUUUUGCUUGAUUUAGUUUCCUUUAUAUGAUAAUAUGUAAAGGGAAGUUUCAAGAGGGGGAGAUCUCAUGCAGCAUUUCCAGAACACAUUGUCCCCAGAAUCCGUUUGUCACCAGAUGUCACUGGGAAAUGCUGACAGGCCUAGCCCUUACCCUGUCAACCUUAAGUUUUUGACUUGAGAGCAGACAUACGGUUAACGUAGACAGAGUUGGGGGGAGAUUCAAGAGAGAAGGCAAAGGUUUCGGUUCCCCAAAAGUCUCCCCACCGGUCUCUGAGUUUCCUCCUGAGGGACACCCUAUGUAACACAGGCCAGGCACAAAUGCUAAUUAGAAUGGGGAACAGGGGAAUUUUCAGGAAGCCCAAGCAGCCUAGAGAGCCUCAGCUGGGGGGAGAGAGGGUGCAGGGAGAGGUGGGGGAGGGUGGCGGCGAGCAGGGUUUAGUCCUGGAUGGUGCUGCCUCUGUCUGUCCCUAGCUCUGGGUGGGUGCCUUCUCCAGGGACCUCAGUUGUGGCAUCUAUGCAGCGCGAGGACGGGGCCCAGAUGUCUCCCAGAUGUCAGGGCCGGUUUUAUGAGCACUUCCCCAGUUCCAGGCCCUCGCUGGCGCCCUGGAGAAAGAGAUGAAUAAGACACUUAACCUUGCCCUCCGGGAAGCCAGGGACUAAAGGUUGGGGGGUGCAGGGUGUGUGUAUUGCAUGUAAUCGACCGGUAAUUGAGGAUGAUAAAACAGGUUUUAACCUAUCUGUUCACCUCUUUCCGAUUGUCACUAGCGCUAGAGCUCUGGCGUCUGGAGGCCACAUAUACCCGGGCAAGGGCUCGUCCUCACCCCUGCAAUCUAAGGCGGCAGAAUCUGGAGUGGGGGAUGGUGGGUGGCUGUGGGAGCCAGAAGGGAGCCCAGCCUGGGGGGUUCCAGCCAUCUGGAGAAGAGGGCACUGGCACUGGCUGACGGACGGACGGGUGGGAGUUUGCCAGGUGGGAAAGGUGGGAAGAGGACUCCAUGGGCAGGAGCAAUGUGCGCAAGGCUCGGCGGGGUGGUUUGGGCACAGCUUCUUGUAGCUGGCGGGUCCUAAGUGGGGUGAGAGGAGGGGACGGGCGUGAAGAGGGGGCCGUAUCACACAGGCCUGGAAAGCUGCCAUCCAGGUUCUAGCAGGGGGAGCUCUGGGGAGUUCUAAGCGCUAAGUGGUGUUGCCCUUUCUCCUGCUCCUGCGGGGUGUGAGGGCGAGGGCGGGAUGAUGCAGGUACCAGCAGGGGCCGGGCAGUGCUUGGAGGAGAGGGAGGGGCCCCGGAAUCAGGCGAGAGCCAGGGUGUCUUGGAGCGGUUGCCUCCUCCUCUCCAUGAGCGUUUAGGGAGGGAGAUGGGGACACCUGGUGCUACAGGGACUAGCUCUUCUAGACGAAUCUGCUGACUCUGAGUAAACAAACAAUCCGAGCCUUGCAGCUGUGGAACUGGGGGCUGCUCAGAGCGGACUUGAGCCUGUAGCUGUCCCUGGAUGCCCGGGGGGACCAGGGACCUGCAGGGCGGGGCUCUGGGGAGAUGGUGCCUGGCUGCCAGCCACCCAGCAAUGCCAACAAUAUUCCCCUGGUGGGGGGCAGGUAGGCAGCUUUGCUCCUGCUUGUCUGGACGGAGGCUCCCUGAAAAGGCUUGGAGGAGCCUGGUUAGCCCUAAUGACAGCAGCGACAAUAACAUUAAAGACUAUCCUGACAUCAUCUCAGCCUUCAAAAUGCACCUGCCAUCUCCGUUGCCACCCUCCUCAUCCAGGUCCAUAAUCUCACCAGGACCGUCACACAGACUCCCCGGCUGGCCUCCCUGCUUCCACCCUGGCCUCCUGCAGGCUGUGCUCCAGGCGGCAGCCAGAGGAAUCCGGUUAACACAGAACUCAAGUCACGUGACUCCUUUGAUGGAAAUCCUCCAAAGGCUCCCGUCUCAUUCACAGUUGAAGCCCAAAUCCCUACGUGACUUGUUUUCGCUGCUUGCUCAUGUCGGCCUCCCCCACGAAAGCGUCAGCCCCAUGAAGGCAGGAUCUCUUCUUCCCUCUGCUGUGUCCCGAGCCCAGGCCCGUGCCUGGUGUGUAGCAGGAGCUCGGGGACUCUGGGAACGGACAACGAGCUUCUCUGCUGCAUGGUGGGGCAGAGUAACCGUGCCCUGGCAGGGUCGCUGACACCUGUCCUGAUAGCUGACACUAGGUGUCAGCUCCACGGAUCCCGGGAGGCUGGCUGGCCAGUGACACGUCUGUGGGGUGUCUGUGAGGGGCUUCCGGGGAGACUGAUGGAAAGCAGGGGAUGGGGAGGAAGACCCACCCCCAGUGUGGCAGACCAGGACAAAGCAGGCAGAGGAAGGGGACAUCCCACUUGUUUGUUUUUUUCUUUUACUCUCUGUCUCUCUCCCUGCCGGGGCAGGACACCUUUUCCUCCUCCUGCCCUUGGACAGCAGACUCCAGGUUCUUCGGCCUCUGGAUUCUGGGAUGUGCAGCCUCCCGGGGGGCUCUCAGGCCUUCCGUCUCAGACUGGGGGCUGCACUGUUGGGCCCCCGGUUUUGAAGCUUUCGGACUCGGACUGAGCCAAGCUACGCGCUUUCCUCAUUCCCCAGCUUGCGGCCGGCACAUUGUGGGACUGCGCCUGUGUAACCGUGUGAGCCAGCGCCCCCAGUGAGCUGCCAUACACGCAUAUUCCAUAUUCCCUCUAUACAUGUCCCAUUGGCUCUGCCCCUCUAGAGGACCCCGGCCACUACACGGUGGGCACGACAUGGGGCAUAGCAUCAGAGCUCAGAGCUCUUUGUUUAAAAUCCCCGAGGCACUCCGUGACUGUGUUCUCCGCCGUGACGGGUUCAGUCGCCACCUGAACAAACCGAGUGCACCACGACAGGGCCCCUGCGGCCCCUGCGGCAGCCCCGUGCCCGCCCUCCUGCGUGGCUCACCACUGCACGCGAGGGCACCUGUCCAGGCUUCCCCACAUAUUCCCAUCUGCACAGACGUAGUGACACACGCCACGUCCUAGGUAUGUAUCGUACACCGUGGAAUCAGCCUCCACUCACUCCACAGCUAUCGAAGAAGCACCUACCACGUGCCGGCAUCGCUCCCAGGUGUGCGAGGUGAGAUCGCCUCCCUCCAGAGCUGGCGUUCCAGUACAGGACAGCAGGAUGGCUCAGCUGUCCUUCCGGGUGUGACGGACGCUGGGAAGAGACGCACGUUCGCGGAAAGGGAUGGGGAGGGACGGGAGUGGGGCUGGGGGCGGCCAGGGCAGGGCGGUCUGGCAGGCGCCUCUUUGACCUGGGACUUGAGGGCCGAGGAGGAACAAGCCCCGCAGAUGUCGGGGCAGAGGGGACAGCGGGUGGGUGCCAAGGCCCGAAGGCUGGUGUGAAAUUAAUGGGCUGGAAGAAGCAUGAGAGGGCCGGAGAGGAGUGGGGGGAGGGGGUGCAGAGCGCACGGUGGGUGUGACCCGAGCCCCGGAAGACGGGGGAGCAGAGGCUUGCUCCAGUGUUUUGCUUUUUGGUACAAUCUUUUUUAUUGUGGUAAAACGUGUAUAACAUACAACUUACCUACUAAUGUUUAACUAUUUUUAAGUGCACAGUUCAGUGGCAUGAGUGCGCUCAGAUUGUCGUGCAAUCAUCACCACCGCCCGUCUGCAGAGCUCUGUCAUCUGUCGUCGCUGAAACUCUGCGCCCCUUCAACACCAGCCACCGAGACUCCUAGCGACUUUCCGUUGCUCUGGGCUUGCCUGCGCCAGGCCCUCGCAUGGGCGGAACCACACGAGAUGAGAAGACUGAGCAGCAGAGAGGUGAUGCCAUUUGCUCCAGGUCACAGGAAGAGCAGAGACGUGAACCCAGACCUGCUGGUUCCAUAGCACCACGCGAGGACCCAGCUCCUGAAUGGUGGCGUCUUCAUGUGGUGUGACUCUCCCAUUGGGGCCGCCUGUGCCAGCUACCACGAGGCCGGGAGGUGGAGUCACUGCCGGUAGGGCAGAGAGGGGAGAGGAUGUUUCCCUGUGCCCACCUGCCUCCCUGCCUGCCCACUCACACCCUCGACAAGUAUCCGCGGAGGGCCUGCCCGGCGCCAGGCUGUAUCCCGGCACUGGGACGAACACAGCGGCGAGCAAAGCAGGCGGCGCCUGCCCUCCCGCCCUCGGUCCUCGCGGGGACAGGCAGAACACAAACACAGGAACAACAAAGACAGUGUCAGCAGAUGUGCUGGUUGCCAGAGUGAGGAUGCACUUCGGGGCUCCAGGGAAGCCAAGUUAGACACGGCCACAAAGAUUUGCGAGCAGGAGCGAGACGGGCCGCUUCCUGGUGGGGAUGUUGAGAACCGGUGAGCGAUUUUCUCUCUCCGUCCCCGCCAGGGAGGCUGGAGGAGUGUUUAGGGGAACACUCACCCACGUGGGUCCUUGACAGUGGGCGUCGUGGGGCAGAGGCCCUGCCAACUGGAGGAGGACACGUAACGUGAAUAAAAGGUAAACCUUUUUCCUAAAGCCAAGGGUUGGUAAACUUUCUCGGUAAGAGAAUGAAUAUUUUAGGCUUGUCGCAGCUACUUAACUCUGCCUUUGGAGCAAGACAGCGGCCAUAGACGGCAUGGCCGGCUUGCAGACCACGGUCUGCCAACCUGUUGGAAGCCUGGGGAACCGCAGGUUGUCUGUUCCUGCAGCGUGAACGAGCCACUGUGACUACUGCAGGCGCCGCCGGGACCUUGCCGGCACAGGCCGCGGAACCUACUCUGCCCGUGCAAGGCGGGAGGCAGGGAAGGAUGCUGCACUUGACUUUGGCUGGAGACCUUGUGGUUUUCCUCCCAGAGCUUUCCACCCUGCUCCCUGCUUUCCGUCCUGAGGGGUUGGCCUGCAGGGGCCACGUCCAUCAAGGGAAACCUUGUCGUCUGGUUCCCAUUGGGUCUGGCUUUUGGGAUCCUGGGAGCAUCUGGAGGAGGGAGGAGCGUGAGGCUGGGUAUUUAUUCCCCGUUCCCUGCCUGCAGGGUCAUCUCAGGCCGCCUGUGUCCUCCAACUGAAGGCCACACCUCCUCUGACGGCUCUCGCUCUGUCUCCCGGUGAUGAAGCUUCUCCCUCCUCUCACCCUUUGGUCUGAUAAAAGUUCCACUUGCACCCGCCCUGGGCUGCUGCUUCAUCCUUUGUGGUUUCCUAUACCUUUCCCAGCGCUUUGUAAGUCAUCCCUUUAUUAAACUCAAAUCAAACGACCCAGCUGGGGGGUACUAUCUGCCCCUGCUGGGACCCUGAGUGGCACUGCUUUGAGGCACACGUGUCCGGGCUCGAGUUCCGAUUGGCUCACUGCCUUGGCUGAAUCAUUUCGCCUCUCUGAGCACCCUGGGUUUUCUCUUCUGCAGACUGGAGCAAAACUAACCUCCAGGAGAAAAAGAUGGGCUUCCUAAACCACGGUGUCAGGACAAUGGCAGGAGGCAUCACAGCUAGUGUGAGGAAAGAAGCAAGGGAGGGAGGGAGGAAUCCCCACGACAGCCCGGGGAGGGUGGGGCCACUAGCCCUCUUGGGAAUGAGGCUAAGGCCGUGUGGGACGCGGUGCUCAGGGGCUCUGAAAGGGCCUGAGCCCCAGACAGAUGUCAGUGCACCAUCUCUUGUCCCUGGGGACAUUGCUGGAAAAGGGUCCUCAGAGCAGAGAAUGAGGCAUCUGCCAGGCCCAGGUUCAAAUGUGGGCUUUGCACUCCUUGCUGUGUGACCUUGGGCAGGUGACACUGCCACUCUGUGCUUCAUCUAAAAAUAAGGAUACAUUUACCUACUUCAUAUGAGGAUGAGAACAGAAGGCAGGCAUCCUGACUUGCUUUUUGACUGCUGUAUGCCUGGUGUCUAGAGUGGUGCCUGGAUCUAUUAGGCUUAGCGUUUGUUAGAGGAAUGGAUGAGUGAACGAAUGUACUAUGUGGCGCACUUAGCACAGUGCUGGCCAAGGUCAGUGCCGGCCAAGGUCGGUGCCGGCCAAGGUCAGUGCCGGCCAGGGUCAGUGCCGGCCAGGGUCAGUGCCGGCCAAGGUCAGUGCCGGCCAGGGUCAGUGCCAAUGUGCAGGAUCAUCAAGUAAACGAUCACCAUCACCGAGUUUUGUCUUUGCCUGUUAACAAGAGGCAGGGUGGCCUGGCGCUUCACUGCCUGUGCUCUGAAGGCCACCUGCCUGGGUCCAGCCUCCGGUUCUACCAGUUUCCAGCUCUGUGGCCUUGGGUACCUCAUUUAAAUUUCUUCAUGUGGAAGACAGGAUUCAAAAAUACCUGCCUUGCAGAAUCGCUGAGGAUUGCACAAGUCUUCACGUGUGCCGGCAGAGUCAGCACGAACGACUUAACCGUCACUGGUCACACUUUGCGGGGAGCCCGGCUCCUUAAGCACCAGUGGGUUUCCAGGAAUUACCCUGCCUGGGCCCAGGAGACCUGGGCAACUUGCCACACGACACUGGAGGAGGGCUGCCGCCGAGAGUCUCAGGGUGCCCAUCUGGGAAGCGGGAGGUGGCGGCUGACGUGGGCCCUCUGAGCUCCUGGUGCUCACGCCUGCAUGUGGGUGGCUGCCCUGACCAGUCCUCGCUUGCCGGGCCCUAUGUGUGGCCCAAGAGAGAAGGCGUCUUGAUGUGAACAACUCUAGGCAGAGGCAGGAUCAGAGCCCCCUCGCCUGCCUGGGCCAGUGGCAAGAGAAGUGGCGUCACAAACGUGGCUACUGAUGGCAUUGCUGUCCUCACCACUGCCGUGAUAAUAACGAGAUGGGAGUGGGGGGAAGGCCUCACGGGGCUGGGGUCCUGCCUUCUGGGCCUCCUCCCUGUGCCUGACUCCACUUCUUGCACCCAGUGACGCAGGGGAAGUGGCCGCCCCUUGGUGCUCGAAGCUGGAAGAGAGAGAUGUUCCUCACAAGUGCCACCAAGCCUUCUUUUUUUAACACCACGAGCUGACUAACGCCUGAGAGUGUCAGUCCCUCCCCUUCGGUGACUGUGCAGGUGCCGGGAGAGCAGGGGAGCGGGGCGGGGGCCCACACAGGCUGCUCCGGGACCCUGUGAGCCCUCAGAGCCUGAGCCCAGCCCUUGGACAAGCGUCUCUCAGCCCUGUCCCUGUCUCUGAGCCCCCCGCACCUCGACCAUCCCUCUCUUAGCUCUCGUGCCCCUCUCUGACCCCAGCCUCCUCUCUGAGCCUUCAUACCCUCUUCUGGGCUCCCUGUCCCCUCUCUGAGCCCCGUCCCCCUCUCUGGUCAUCUGACCCUUCUUUGCCCUCCUCCCCAUGUCCCCACGGCAGACCCUCGGUGAAUGCUGGCAGGGUCGCCCCUAGAGGACCCAGCCCUGCCCGGGGAGCGAGACUCAGUUCAUCUGGUGACCCUUAGGGGACUUUGUGCAGCUCUUGUCUCCAUUCGGGUCUCACUGUCCCCGUCUGUGUAACGAGAGGGUUGUCCUGGCCGUGUGAGAAGGCCCCUUCCACACUGAGCCGAGAAGAUCCACAGAAACUUCCAGCUGGGGGAGUAGGGGUCCCAGCACCCCAGCGCCCUUCCUGGCAUGGUGCUGGGGCCCCUCGCCCAAGUGCAUUGCCCCGGAACAGCCAAGGCUCUGGGCAGCUGUCUCCCCCGUGCAUUCCGGAUGUCCCUUACUGUCGCAAGUGCAGUUGUGGCAUCCCCGUUCCUGGGCCGGCAGUCUGGUCCCAAAGGAUCCCAUUGCAUUUUCCACCUGGCACAAUCUAAAACUGGUCCCCGGCGCGUGUCUCGCUGUUGGCCAAGCGCUCUCCCCACAGACCCCUGGCCGGUGACUUUGUCACACGGGGGGCACAGACGCUGCACGGCGGACUGGUUUCCGUGGGCUGCGCAGAGUGGGGGGACUCUGCGCUCCGGGGCCAAUCUGGUCACCGUGGCAGCGGAGAAGAGGCCCCGCUCAGAUCGCCUGUGCUGGGGAGCCCGACUGACAGACGGCCCCAGCUGCUGCCCGCUGGGGACGUGCCGCCGUGUCUGUGCCGAGCCCACGCUUCCUGUGCGCUGCUCGUAGCCGGCACGGAGUGUGGUGGGGGUGCCAAGGCAGGCCCGCUCUGGGGGGGGGCGGCACUUCCCCUGUAAGGGACUUCGGCUGAGCACUGCCCGGCGGCGUGGCUGGGCCUUCCUUAGGAUCGUGCUGUAGCCCCAGACUCUUGUGGCCCCUCUGCCUUCCUUCUCCCUCUCCCUUCCUGGGUGCCAGACCGGCAUGGUCAAGGUCAGAAGGCUGCCCCUGCCUUCUCCUGCUGCCUCUCCAAUAAACCUCUUGCCCGUCUCAUCCAACCUUGGCACCUGCCUCCCAGCACAUCACGCUAACCCAGCCAUCAACAGCAAGGCUGCCGAAGGUAAGUUGCGUACAGCACUGAUCACAGCAACGACUAAUAUUUAAUAAGCACAUAUUCGGGCUCAGUUAAUAUCUCGUCUACUCCUCACCACAACCUCGUGAGGGAAGAACUUCAGCCAUCUCGUUUUACAAUGAGGAAACUGAAACUCCAAGGAGGAAGGAACUUACUCAAAGCACAGUUAGAAAAUGACUGUUUCCAAACUUUUUUGGUUAAUAUCUGUCUCGCUCUCUACACCAGAUAAGCCAGUGGGUUCGGAUACUAAGUCACUUUUUGUUAAUCAUUCUGUCCCCCUCCUCAGAGCCUCUCAUAGUCCCUGGCUCGUAGAAAGCUCUUGGUAAAUAUUUGCUGCAAUUGCAAAUGAAUAAAUGAGCAGUGAAAGAGCUGUGAACAAUGGCCAAGUGGCUUCUCCACGUUGCAAAAAGGCUAUACUUAGGCUGCAAAAAGAAGAAGCUUUUGUCUGAAAGUCCCUGGUAAAACAUGAGGGUGUGAGUUUCUAUAUUUAUUAAAACAUAUUUAGCCUCCCUUCAUUUCUCUUUCACACCCUUCUGCCUCAUUCCUGGGAGGCAGAGCAAAACAAUGGGAAGAACUCAUCAAACCCAGCAGGACUACCGGCACUGCCACCCUAUAACGUUCUGUGCCUCAGUUUCCUCAUCAAUAAAAUGGGGGCAGUAAUGUAUACUUUAUCCUGCACCUGGCAGAGAGAUGAUCGAGUGGGCUCAUAGUGGGUCCUGUUCUCCUGCCAGGGCCUCCUGGUGGCCCACAGAGGCCAGGCACAGCCUGGUGCCGAGCCCGGGCUAAGGGGCAAGGUGCAGUGGCUGCGGUGGCUGAAAUAUCAGUCCCCAGAGGACCCAAGAAGCCCAGUGCUGGCAGCCUGCUUCUUUCCCCCAGCUGCGUGAAGGCACCCUGCCAGCCUUUCCCAGCCUGCGGGUGAGUCUCAGGCCCCUGGCUGUCCCAGUUUCUGCUGACGGCAGAAGGACCACGCGUGAGUCACCGCAUCAGCCCCAGGUUUCUGCAGCUGCCCUUGCACCAGUCGGGCCCAACAUUAGUAACUGGAUCACGGUCCCCGCCCCCGAGAGUAUCAGGGGCUAAGGAUCUCAAGGCUGGCUUGUCCCUGCUGCAAGAGACCUUGGCCUCAGCUGUCCCAGCAUCCUUCAACCUCACUUCAUAGAUGGGGAAACUGAGGCCCAGAGGGGGGAAGCGAUUUGCUCAGGGUCAUACAGAAACUCAGUGGCAGGAUAUGGCUAGAGCC